UAGGGAAUCUUCCGCAAUGGACGAAAGUCUGACGGAGCAACGCCGCGUGAGUGAAGAAGGAUUUCGGUUCGUAAAACUCUGUUGUUAGGGACGAAAAAAUGUAUAGUAACUAUAUACAAAAGAGACGGUACCUAACCAGAAAGCCACGGCUAACUACGUGCUAGCAGCCGCGGUAAUACGUAGGUGGCAAGUGUUGCCCGGAAUUAUUGGGCGUAAAGCGCGCGCAGGUGGUUUAGAAAGUCUGAUGUGAAAGCCCACGGCUCAACCGUGGAGGGUCAUUGGAAACUAAUAAACUUGAGUGCAGGAGAGAAAAGUGGAAUUCCUAGUGUAGCGGUGAAAUGCGUAGGGAUUAGGAGGAACACCGGUGGCGAAAGCGGCUUUUUGGCCUGCAACUGUCACUGAGGCGCGAAAGCGUGGGGAGCAAACAGG
rnacentral:rRNA from 1 species